rnacentral:rRNA from 1 species
UACGUAGGGCGCAAGCGUUAUCCGGAAUUAUUGGGCGUAAAGGGCUCGUAGGCGGUUUGUCGCGUCGGGGAGUGAAAACCUUGGGCUUAACUCAGGGCUUGCUUUCGAUACGGGCAGACUAGAGGUAUGCAGGGGAGAACGGAAUUCCUGGUGUAGCGGUGAAAUGCGCAGAUAUCAGGAGGAACACCGGUGGCGAAGGCGGUUCUCUGGGCAUGAUCUGACGCUGAGGAGCGAAAGUGUGGGGAGCGAACAGG